CGAAGCCUGACGGAGCAAUACCGCGUGAGGGAAGAAGGCUUUUGGGUUGUAAACCUCUUUUGUCAGGGAAGAAGAAUUGACGGUACCUGAAGAAAAAGCAUCGGCUAACUCCGUGCCAGCAGCCGCGGUAAUACGGAGGAUGCAAGCGUUAUCCGGAAUCAUUGGGCGUAAAGGGUCCGCAGGUGGCGAAUAAAGUCUGCUGUUAAAGACCGGGGCUAAACUCCGGAAAGGCAGUGGAAACUGAUUAGCUAGAGUACGGUAGGGGUAGAGGGAAUUCCCAGUGUAGCGGUGAAAUGCGUAGAUAUUGGGAAGAACACCGGUGGCGAAAGCGCUCUACUAGGCCGAAACUGACACUGAGGGACGAAAGCUAGGGUAGCGAAAGGGAUUAGAUACCCCUGUAGUCUUAGCUGUAAACGAUGGAUACUAGGCGUAGCUUGUAUCGACCCGAGCUGUGCCGAAGCUAACGCGAUAAGUAUCCCGCCUGGGGAGUACGCACGCAAGUGUGAAACUCAAAGGAAUUGACGGGGGCCCGCACAAGCGGUGGAGUAUGUGGUUUAAUUCGAUGCAACGCGAAGAACCUUACCAGGGCUUGACAUGUCGCGAAUCUGGCGGAAACGUUAGAGUGCCUUAGGGAACGCGAACACAGGUGGUGCAUGGCUGUCGUCAGCUCGUGUCGUGAGAUGUUGGGUUAAGUCCCGCAACGAGCGCAACCCUCGUCCUUAGUUGCCAAUAUUAAGUUAGGCACUCUAGGGAGACUGCCGGGGACAACUCGGAGGAAGGUGGGGAUGACGUCAAGUCAGCAUGCCCCUUACGUCCUGGGCGACACACGUACUACAAUGGUUGGGACAAAGGGCAGCAAGCUCGCGAGAGUAAGCGAAUCUCAUCAAACCCAGCCACAGUUCAGAUUGCAGGCUGCAACUCGCCUGCAUGAAGUAGGAAUCGCUAGUAAUCGCAGGUCAGCAUACUGCGGUGAAUUCGUUCCCGGGCCUUGUACACGCCGCCCGUCACACCAUGGAAGCUGGCUACGCCCGAAGUCGUUACCCUAACCCGGUUUUGGGAGGGGGAUGCCGAAGGUAGAGCUAGUGACUGGGGUGAAGUCGUAACAAGGUAGCCGUACCGGAAGGUGUGGCUGGAUCACCUCCUUU
rnacentral:rRNA from 1 species